rnacentral:rRNA from 1 species
CUAUACAUGACUCUGUGCAUAUCAAUAAGCGGAGGAAAAGAAACUAACAAGGAUUCCCCUAGUAACGGCGAGUGAAGCGGGAAGAGCUCAAAUUUGAAAUCUUAAAGGGUUUCCCUUUACGAAUUGUAGUUUAAAGAAGUGUUUUCUGUUGGAGUUUCGGUAAAAGUUCUUUGGAAUAGGACAUCAUAGAGGGUGAGAAUCCCGUAUUUGACCGUUACUUUCCAGCUGUGUGAUACACUUUCAAAGAGUCGGAUUGUUUGGGAAUGCAGUCCAAAAUGGGUGGUAAAUUUCAUCUAAAGCUAAAUAUUGGCGAGAGACCGAUAGCGAACAAGUACCGUGAGGGAAAGAUGAAAAGAACUUUGAAAAGAGAGUUAAACAGUACGUGAAAUUGUCAAAAGGGAAGCGUUUCGACACCAGUGUUGUUUAGUUGAAAAUCAAUUCAAUAAUUUUUGAUUUUAAGUAGUAUUGACUUCAUCAGCUUGCUGCUUUCUUUUCCGGAAUUAUUGAAUGCACUUUUCAGUUAACAAGUCAACAUCAAUUUCUUUUGUUGUAAAAGGGUAAGAGGAAGGUGGCUUACGCUUCGGCGUAAGUGUUUAUAGCCUUUUACCUCUGCAAUCGGAGAGAUUGAGGACAGCAGCGUAGACUCCUUCGGGGUUAGAUACACUUGUGCUAAGCUAUAGCCUUGUAUAGACAACUUGUUGACUAUGCUCAGUCAUGUAGCUUACUCGCUAGAUGCUAUUUUACCUACGCUUAGGAUGUUGAUAGUCACAGCGUGUAC